rnacentral:rRNA from 1 species
AUACGGAGGGUGCAAGCGUUAAUCGGAAUUACUGGGCGUAAAGGGUACGUAGGCGGUUAAAUAAGUUGGAUGUGAAAGCCCCGGGCUCAACCUGGGAACUGCAUUCAAAACUGUUUGACUAGAGUGUAUGAGAUGUUGGCGGAAUUCCAGGUGUAGCAGUGAAAUGCGUAGAUAUCUGGAGGAACAUCAGUGGCGAAGGCGGCCAACUGGCAUAACACUGACGCUGAGGUACGAAAGCGUGGGGAGCGAACGGGAUUAGAUACCCUUGUAGUCC